rnacentral:rRNA from 1 species
AGUGAACGCUGGCGGUAGGCCUAACACAUGCAAGUCGAACGGCAGCACAGUAAGAGCUUGCUCUUACGGGUGGCGAGUGGCGGACGGGUGAGGAAUACAUCGGAAUCUACUUUUUCGUGGGGGAUAACGUAGGGAAACUUACGCUAAUACCGCAUACGACCUACGGGUGAAAGCAGGGGAUCUUCGGACCUUGCGCGAUUGAAUGAGCCGAUGUCGGAUUAGCUAGUUGGCGGGGUAAAGGCCCACCAAGGCGACGAUCCGUAGCUGGUCUGAGAGGAUGAACAGCCACAAUGGAACUGAGGAACGGUCCAGACUCCUAAGGGAGGCAGCAGUGGGGAAUAUUGGGCAAUGGGGGCAAGCCUGAACCAGCCAAACCGCGUGGGUGAAGAAGGCCUUCGGGUUGUAAAACCCUUUUGUUGGGGAAGAAAAGCCGCAGGUUUAUACCCCGCUGUUCUGACGGUACCCAAAGAAUAAGCACCGGCUAACUUCGUG